rnacentral:rRNA from 1 species
UACGUAGGUGGCAAGCGUUGUCCGGAUUUACUGGGCGUAAAGAGCGCGCAGGCGGUCGGCCAAGUCGAGUGUGAAAGCCCCCGGCUCAACUGGGGAGGGUCAUUCGAUACUGGUCGACUCGAAGGCAGGAGAGGGAAGCGGAAUUCCCGGUGUAGUGGUGAAAUGCGUAGAUAUCGGGAGGAACACCGAUGGCGAAGGCAGCCCCCUGGGUCAAGAUUGACGCUCAUGCACGAAAGCGUGGGGAGCAAACAGG